rnacentral:lncRNA from 1 species
AUCAGUUUUUUCAUAUUUAAUUCAAUUAUUUAUAUAUUUAUCAGAAAGGAUAACGAAGGAGACAGAGCGAGGGAACGACCGGACGCCUUAAAGAAGGCGCGCGACCACAGACGCAAAACGAAGACAGAAAAAGAAUAGUCUCGCUAACCUUGCCGUCUUGCAGCUCAUUAUGAAACUGUGUCCGCGCGGACAGACCAAGAAAGAAUCGGCAAGCCGCGACCGCCAGCGACCGAUCAGUUCAACGGCAGACCAACGCACAGAAACAGCGUUCGGUUUCCUAGUCGCUCCUUUCGCAACCGCGCGCGCGCAAAAAAAGUCGUACGAAUCCACAUCCAGUCCGUGUUUCUCAAGUUUUGGAAGUAGUGUUUCUCGUUCGCUGAUUUUUGGUUCCGCGCAGGAGGAUUCCAGUGACUCGAACGCCCGGCUAGAAACGUGUACAAUCGUGCUAGAUCAAACCCAGUGGAUAUUCUAGAGGAUAUUCUAGUGGAUAUUCCAGAUCCGGUGACUCGAACGCCCGACUAGAAACGUAUACAAUCGUGCUAGAUCAAACCCAGCGGAUAUUCUAGUGGAUAUUCCAGAUUCGGUGUAUUUUUCGAGGUUUUCGGAGUGAGUGCGUGUGAGAUAGUGGCGGCCAAUAUAGUUGGUCGGCGUUCCAUGUGUCGCUUUGUCCGAGGAGAAUCGAGUGUGUUCGCCGCGGGGAAGGGUAGUUCUCGGGAUUCGCUGCGAGUAUAAUGAUAAUUUACCCACCUCAAACACCGAGCAUGGCUUUGAGUAACAGUCAGUUCACGGGGAGCAAGUUCCGCGGGGGGUCCCGGGGUAACUUCAAAAAAGCCAGGCAAGCCCCGACGCCGUGCCCCAAGCGGCAGGUCGUUCACUGGAAGCAGAACAAUAUCAAACAAGGCAUUGUUGUCGUCGACGAACAGCAGCUCUCCAAACUAAUUAAAACGGACCCGAUUGAAAACCAUUACGAGUUGGACCCGGAACCCUUUGCAACGAGUCUGGUAUCAACUGCCACAAAUAUGAAGGAAGGUGUCAGGAAAUAAUUUCGGAUCGCAUUGCUCUAUAAUUACUGAAUGAGGAAAGGAAAAAAGUUGAAAACUGAAUUCAGAAAAAUAGUUUCCUGAGUUAAACUGACUUUCAGCUGGAUUCAAAAUCUACCUGGCAAUUGAAGGUAAAUUUCAUCGGUAUGAAAUAGUUGUAUCUGUUGUCAAAAAAAAAAAAGAUAAUAGGAUAAUAUUGGCACCCUCGCAAGAAGCGCGAUCUCAGAAAUACUAUUUACAAGCGGGAGUAGGAGCUCUCAGGUUCGAAUCAAGGAAAUUCAAGGGAUAAAAUAUUAUCCUGGAUGCAUUUAGUGGAAUAAGGUGCUUCUGGGCACCUCAAAUCGUCUUUUAGACACCUUUAAUCGUCCCUUAGAUACGCAGUAAUGUCCGGUGUAGCAACCAUUAAGAACACCGUUGACUUACGGCAACUACUUUAACUCCCCGAGGAUUGAAUUGCAUAUCUUGAAGAAUGCAGGCGCAUUGCGUGUAUCCGGAAAUGAGGUAACUCUAAAGGAAUACGCUGGUAAAUAGCCGUGUAAUCCAACAAAUAAGGGCCCUGCAAGCUGUUGCAAUAUUUAAGCCUCGAUCCUUGAUAUUUAAUCCUAAAUUAUUUUAAUUCCCUGGAGAUCAAAUUGUAUACGCGUAAAAACGAAAGAAUCUUCAGUAGUCCAGUGAAUUUUGGCCUGGCAGUCAAACAAUUUAGUCAAUUUUUACGUGAGGAUGGUAUGGUAGUUAUAAAAAAUGGUUAUGGUCAAAAGUCAUAACAGUUGUAAUAUUAAAUCACUUUUGGAUAAUAUGAAUUCAUAGGAGGACUGGCUUCUUGGGUCCUGCUCCAAUGGCCCAACGUUAAAAUUACCGAAAUGUCCCUACAUCUUUUUAUACUGCCGUGCUGAGGAAGAACGCAGUAUGAGGUCUCAGAUGUUGCCAUAUUACUUUCAAUGGGGAAAAGAAGGUACGGAGGAAAUUCUGAAUUGUUUUUCAAAUUUUCAGAAAAUUUUGCACGCAAUUGGAUCCAAAAUAUUUGAAAAUUUCAAGAAGAAAUACACAUAACUUUCCCCAAAAAUUCACGAUUUAUCCGGGGAAAUUGGCAACUCUCGAAAGUUCGUACAGCGUCCCUCCUUAGCGUACUCUGGGUGGAUCCAUCCAACCCGUGUGAUAAAAUCCGCUCUAAAAGGUCGACGCAGCGGUCAGUGCGGCGUGGCGUGCUUGGCGAUACAUCGAUUGAUCUGCCAUUUAAACCUAUGGAAAAGGAUCCAUAACUAAGGUGUUCGCGACGAACACCUUAAUAAUCGAUUCUACACCACAGCUUCAAAUGGGGAAGUAUCGAUAAUCGAUCAUUAACGCCUUGCCACUGGCGGUGGUAGUGGUAGUGGACACUCCUCUCUGCUGUGUUAAGGAAGAACGCCGUAUAAUCCUUCAGACAUUGCCGAAUUUACUGGGAAAAUUGUAAAUAUUCCCCCCCCCAAAAUUUUCCGACAAUUUUCCAUGCAGUAAAAUCUAAAAUGUACGAGUAUCUAAAAAUUCCAAGGAAAAAUAUGCUUAAAAUGAAUUGCGCCCAAAAUACAAAUUUUAUGAAGGGAAACUUGGCAACCAUCGAAUGUUCAUAAGGCGUUCUUCCUUAGACGGCAGCUCUCGCCUUUACAUUAGGGUCGAUUGGUACUCAUCGGGGCGUGUGAGCGGAGCGGAAGACGGGAGCAGAGACUUA